rnacentral:rRNA from 1 species
GGCCAGACUCCUACGGGAGGCAGCAGUGGGGAAUAUUGCACAAUGGGGGAAACCCUGAUGCAGCAACGCCGCGUGAGUGAAGAAGUAUUUCGAUAUGUAAAGCUCUAUCAGCAGGGAAGAAGAUGACGGUACCUGAUUAAGAAGCCCCGGCUAACUACGUGCCAGCAGCCGCGGUAAUACGUAGGGGGCAAGCGUUAUCCGGAUUUACUGGGUGUAAAGGGGGCGCAGACGGCAGCGCAAGCCAGGAGUGAAAGCCCGGGGCCCAACCCCGGGACUGCUCUUGGAACUGCGCGGCUGGAGUGCAGGAGGGGCAGGCGGAAUUCCUGGUGUAGCGGUGAAAUGCGUAGAUAUCAGGAGGAACACCGGUGGCGAAGGCGGCCUGCUGGACUGCGACUGACGUUGAGGCCCGAAAGCGUGGGGAGCAAACAGGAUUAGAUACCCUAGUA